AAGCAGCGGAGCGUGUGGUUUAAUUCGAUGUUACACGAAGAACUUACCAGGGUUUGACAUGCAAGUGGUAGGAAGCCGAAAGGUGACCGACCUUCGGGAGCUUGCACAGGUGCUGCAUGGCUGUCGUCAGCUCGUGUCGUGAGAUGUUCGGUUAAGUCCGCUAACGAGCGCAACCCUCGCUGUGUGUUAUAUGUGUCACACGGGACUGCCGGUCUUAAGCCGGAGGAAGGUGGGAUGAUGUCAAGUCAGCAUGGCCUUUAUAUCCUGGGCUACACACACGCUACAAUGGCCGGUACAAAGGGCAGCGACACAGCGAUGUGAAGCCAAUCCCGAAAAGCCGGUCUCAGUCCGGAUUGGAGUCUGCAACUCGACUCCAUGAAGUUGGAAUCGCUAGUAAUCGCGGAUCAGCACGCCGCGGUGAAUACGUUCCCGGGCCUU
rnacentral:rRNA from 1 species